UAUUUAUCCUUGUGGUUCCUGUCUCUCUGUGCCCGUUUGUCUUGUUUUGCCAAGUCAACCAGUGGUUCUUCCAGCUCCUAUUUUACCCAGUCUCUGUUUUCUCCUAGCCCUCCUGGUUUUGACCCUUGCCUGUCCUGAUGCCGAAUCUGCCUGCUUGACUACUCUGACUGUUCUGACCUCGAGUCUGCCUAUCCCCUUGUACUGUUUGGACUCGGAUCUGUUCACUGAACCCCUGCAUAUCCUGACCUCGAGCCUGUUUAUCUCCUGGAACUGUUUGGACUCUGACCUGUUUUAUGAAAUCUCGCCUGUCCACGACCUGCCUUCUCCCUGCAUGGAGCCACCAUUGGGCGGUAUGAGGAGCUACUGCUGGAACUUUUGGAAGGGCUUCGUUCCCUGACGGAACGCCACGACCAAGGGUUCAAGGCUAUAAUGGAGCAAAUCAAAUGCAGCAGCCAUCAUACGAAGCAUUGGGAAGUGCUGAUGUUCCGGUUGGUGGUGACGUCAGGUCCAGGGGCCGACACUGAUGGAACCGGGGGUGCCAAAGCCAGCUCGUCAGGCUAUCCCGCCCUAGCUGGCUCGAGGUUUCUUAACCCGGUUGGCUCGGAAGGCGCCCAUCCCACGUCAGGCCUCAGCCAGAUUGUCAGAUUUUUAUGCCCCGCCGGCUCAUCAGGCUCUCACACCUCUGCGAGAUCGACAGGGUCACUAGGCUCUCACGCCUCGGCUGGCCCGUCAGGCUAACCCAGGUGGGACGCUGUUUCUGUCUGUUCCUAAUUAAAUGUCAACUCCCCGUACCUGUU